GCAUGUAGUCUAGGCAACAUUAGUCGAAUCUCACAGUGGUUUAUGGAUUUGUCUCGCUGUAGCCUGCUGUGAAUUAAGCACUAAGCAAACCACUGGCAGUUCAUGCCAUGGCCUACGACGGUGGCAUCAGGUGUAAAAGGUCAAUCUGUAGGCCCUCGGGUAAACUAAGACUUUAAAUAGCUUUUCAUAGUAUGUCAUUUCUCUCACACCUUAGAAUGAUUAAGUUAUUAUUUAGGGAUAACUAUAUUUAAAAGCUCACCAGAAAAACACACUUCUUUGCAUUGUCGCUACCUCCAAGAACUUUAACGUUACCAAUUUCUUAGAAGUUAAAUUAACGUCAUACUUCCAAGUAGGGUCCUUCAAACCCGUGAAUAAGGUUCUUGCGUAUGUCUGCUGUCUCGCAAGACCAAAUUCCUAGUUGGUUGUCUUGUACAUUUAUGGGAAUUAUACAUUCACUUUCCAAAUGAUUUUUCCUUUCCCAGAAAUCCACAUGGUUUCGUUUUGACUGAAGUAGACUAAAUACACUUAAUAGCUCCGGGAGAUUCCCGUCGGAGAGUCUAUUAAACCAAGCAACCAGAGACAGUCGCCGGUUCGUGCCUUUCCGAAGCUGCAAGUUGUUCUGGUGGCUGUGCCUAAAUCUAUACUUAUAGGGGACAAAGGCUGCCUCUGGAGAAGAUGAUGUCCUGAUAGGCUGACAAAGGCUCCCUCUGGAGAAGAUGAGGUCCUGAUCCAAAGCUGUCUGGACUAGACGUGGUCCAUGGUCAACAGACAUCAAACAUCAAACAUCAGAGAAUGUUCAAUAAUAAUAAAGCAACUAACUCAGGCUCUUGAGUUAGUUAGUUUUGUUAGUUAAUUAGUUUAUUCGUAAGUUACUUUAUUAGUCAAUGUGUUUGUUUGUUAGUUAGUUAGUCUAUUAGUUAGUUUAGUUUGUUAGUUACAUGUAAAAGUUCGUUUAUUCGUUUAUUAGGUUUGAUAUCGUUUUAGUUUUGUUAGUUAAUCUAGGGUUAGGGUUACUAACUCUUGGGUUGUAGAUUUGUCUGUUUAUCAGUAACCUUCAGGCAUCCUCAAACAUGAGCUUGUCUGUUUAUCAGUAAGCUUUAGGCAUCCUCAAACAUGAGCUUGCUUUGGGUGACUAGUAUGCAUGGUGACUUUUCAAGUUUGUGUCACCUGAUCUCUGUAAAAUGAUUAACAAUGAACAAUUAAAGUAAGCCAUGAAAAAGCCAUGUAAUUCUGCAGUGAUAUGUACUUCAUAAAGAUAGCCCCAACAGUAGUCUCCCAGGCAUACUGUACAUACUAAAAAACAAAGAAAACAGCUUUUAUUUUAUUGUAUUUGUUAUGUUUUGCUGUUUCUGGUAUGCACUGUAACAAGGGGCACCAGUUUAUUCAUAUUUAUUUCAAGUCUUGCUAGCAACCCUUACACGUCACUUAACACAAUCAGGUUAUGCAGACUGAAAAUAAUAAAAACGGGAAAGAGCAUCUUU